CCUGUCUGAAAAUCAUCUCUGGUCUCCUUCAGUGGCCUUGGGUGAGAUAACGGUGCCCACAGCAAAGGGAGCAUUAAGCUUAUUGCCCUUAAGCACUGCGCAUGGGCAAUAAAACCCAUGCUCCUAUAUGC